GGGAAGUAGUGUCUAAAACCUGGUACCCUCGUGGCCUCAUCAGCCGCCUCGGUCUGUCUGGCAGGGUAAGUCCCCGGAAGGGGGCAUCUCCAAGAGAAGCGGCUAGACCCAGCGACGCAGCCGUUCGCUUUGGUCGCCGCCUGUGAGGCGAGCAUCCGAGCGCAACGGGAGUCCGGGAGCUGUAUCGAAAAGAGCUGGAACCAACGACAGCAAAUGCUGACGGAGAGGGAAGCCGGACGAGCGGCGUGCAGGGGAUUAAUACCUAAGGGACGGGGUUGAAACGAGGAGGCAGAAACGCAGCGGACCCUCGGUAUCCCCAGCAGCUGCCACGGUAGCGGCAGGUGUUCCGCCACGGGCAAGUCAAGCAGGGAACGACGACGGGCCGUCGUGAAGAACUGCAGGCUGCCGCCCUCCGACCUCGGCAGGUGACGCGCCGAGAGCAGCCGGGAGAAUCCGAAUGCCGGUCUUGGCGAGUUCUCUGCCUGGUGCUGACGAGGAGCCUUUGACAGUAGGAAGGUUGGCAGCGUC